rnacentral:misc_RNA from 1 species
GAAAUGCGAUAAGUAAUGUGAAUUGCAGAAUUCAGUGAAUCAUCGAAUCUUUGAACGCACAUUGCGCCCGCCAGUAUUCUGGCGGGCAUGCCUGUUCGAGCGUCAUUACAACCCUCAGGCCCCCGGGCCUGGCGUUGGGGAUCGGCGGAAGCCCCCUGCGGGCACAACGCCGUCCCCCAAAUACAGUGGCGGUCCCGCCGCAGCUUCCAUUGCGUAGUAGCUAACACCUCGCAACUGGAGAGCGGCGCGGCCACGCCGUAAAACCCCCAACUUCUGAAUGUUGACCUCGAAUCAGGUAGGAAUACCCGCUGAACUUAAGC